CCCAUUACACGAAAUAAAGUGUAAUUGUUAAAUUACAAAUAUUUACGUUUUAUUAUUUAUGAUUUGGCAUGAGAUAAAAAAAAAAAGAUCAUCAAGGGGCUGUUGAUGAUAAUUAUUCGACAGGGGCUCUGGGAGUGUAGGCUAUAUCUUAAUACGCAAAGAAAGUCCUGCCCAACAAUGACAGCUGUUCAUCAGAUAGUAACUUCUUUCCAAGUUUUUUUCCCUCCCACCUCGAGCCCCGUUUUUAGCUUGCUUUGUUGUUUUAAAAUAUGCAUGUCUCUCCGGAAUGCCAGUCACGAGUCCAAACUUUGUGUCCAACCUCCCACAUGAAAUGAUCCUUUUAAAGCGGGCUCAAUAUGUCUCAAUCUGCACUGCACUUCACACUAAGCUUUUGGGUAUAGUCUAUGGGACAGAGCCCAGAAAUAUAAUAAUUAAAGCGAGAUGUUGUGUCGAACUCAAAUGUUUCAGACUUUACGACUGUGAAGAGUGGCGGCUCAGAGAAACUGAAACAUCAACGUCUAUGAUGGAGGUCCACGAAAAAAAGGGGCGAUCGAUGCCAAGGCUCUCUCCCACCGCACCGGCGCUGAACUCCAGAGUGCCGUGAGCGGCUUUGCCCAAUCACAGCAGCCGGGUCAGCGGGAGUGCGUCUCAGUGCCGGUAUGCAGAUGAGCCCAGACCCUCCUGCAACCUCGGAAUAAGCUCUGCACUCUCUUCAGCAUGCGCAGCCUCUGACUCUUCCGACUCCUCCUGGCGUCUGGGCUUUCGCUAGCUAACGGCCAUUUACUGCCUCAGCCCACUCCUUUAAUAGGCAAUGUGUGCGGAGGCUAAUGGACGUUGUCAAUGGUGUGUUGUGACUGUUGAUUUAGAGAAGGAGCGCCACCAGCCGGGCAUCUCUCAGAGCUAACCUGACCACUGGACACCCAGAAGGAGCCGGGGGAAAGAGGAGGACAGUUAGCUCACUCACGCUACAAAUCAAAGUAAUAUCCUUAAAAGAUGUGGAGAUCGAUUAAAUGCCAUGGUGCUGUGUAGAAAGUAAAUUCUGUCCUAUAAACAGUAUUUUUCUCUCUCCCCCCACCCCCGGUUUUGGUCAUAGUCUCUUAUAUAAACGUUUGAGAAUGAAUAAGUAGUUAUUUCAUGGUUCAGUGAUUUCAGGGCUAAGAUCACAGAGGCCUGACAUUUUGUAAAGUUAGAAAAGGAACAUUUUCCCCCAGAUUUAUUUUUGGUUUAUAUUUUAAAUGAAAAUUCCAUUGUCACUGGUAAAAUGCUAGAAAUUAUUCAUGUUAAAAAGUUGCUCAAAGGAUUUUUACUUUUGUAUACUUCUUGAGAUGUGUAAAGAAAUUAAGUAUGUCGCUUUCAAAGUGGUGUUUUUCUAAUAUUUGGAGAUUUUAAUAGAAUUGUCAGACAAAUGUAACUAGUUUAAUAAACAGACAUAUUGCACUUUGGAAUAAUUUCUCAAAAAGAAUUCCACAAAAGAAAAUUACUUUCUGCAGAAAUAGUCAUGGGUUUCAUGAAGCUCCAGACCUCCAGGACCAAAGUCACCUAGUUCUGAUUUAGUCAUUUUAUUUUGUAACUGUGCAUUGAUUAAGACUACAAGAAUGUCCUUGCCUCAAAGUCCUUUGAACCUCUAAUCCUGGUCCUCAGGACCCAAAGGGGUGUACAUUUUUGUUUUUGCCCAAGCACUCACACACCUGAUUCAAAUUAAAGACCUGAUGAUAGAUUGAUUAUGUCAAUCGAGUGUGUAAGUGUUAGGGCAACAUUUGAAACAAGUGUGUGAGUGCUAGGGCAAAAACAAAAACGUGCACCCCUUUGGGUCCUGAGGACCAGGACUGGGAAACACUGCUCUACAGCAUUAUGAUCUGGGCUUCGACUCUGCCAUUUUAUUUCUGACUUUUGAGCAAUUAUGCUGUUGAUUUGCUUGGAUCAUUAGAAGAUGCAUUUUUAGCUAAUCUUUUCUGUUUAUUAUAAUUAUAUAAAUGUUUGUAUUUAUUGGAUAUUUUGUUGCACAGGGUUAACUUUCUCUUUUCAAAGUGUUGAAAUUAAGAUGAAAAUUACAAAAAAUACAGUUUUGAUGACCCAGUGACACUACUUACAACACUACAUAUUCUCUUUACCUUUACAAAAUUCGAUACAUUAAUGUUGGUAUGUCUGUUUUUUGACAAUAAAGCAUCCUAAUUGGCAUGAAUCAAACAGUUGAGAACACCAAAUAUUUUUCUAAUAAAAAGUUCAUAAUA